UAGAGUGUAGCUCAAUGGCAGAGCAUUCGACUGCAGAUCGAGAGGUGGGUGGAUCAAAUCCGCCGGCUCCUU